rnacentral:lncRNA from 1 species
GACUCGUAGCUCAAGUGGAGCAUAAAUUUGAUAUACCACCCCUUCACCAAUAGUAGACUUGGCAUUCGUGUUGUGUUUGCAGUGUUCGUGUCAACCCGCUUUUCUUAACAUGUUGACACGACACGACACAAUAGGAAAAUAGGUGGAAAAUGUCAAACAUGAACACGACCUGUUACAAUUCAAGAAUUACACAACACGAGCCAUUUCACUCGUUAAGAAUUAAAAAAAAUUAAAAAAUUGAAAACUGAAAAAGAAAAAAAAAACCACCUAUAGAACCACUGCUCAGUCCCCCUCUUCCUCUUUCUCGCCUUAUUCCCCAAUUCAUAAACCUCAAUUAAUGACUGUUAAGGCCCAAAAAAUCCAUGGCUUGGCCCAAAUGAAUUCUCGGCUCAGCGCAAUACCUUAUUGAGAAAAAAUCCAACUUGGAGCACACAAAAGUCCUCCAUGAACGAGUCACACUCCACGUGCCAUGCAAAAUACAUAAUCUGUCAUGCUAGGAAUCGAGAUUAAGAUUAUAAAAUGCAAAUCCAUGCUAAUUAUCUCGUCAAGCAUAAUAAUUAAAAGCAUGCCAAGUGAUAUGCCAUGCCAAGCGACAUGCCAUGCCAAGCAGGAAAUCAUUAUUACACACCCAACCACGCUACAAGUCUAAGUGGGCCCAAGCCACUCGAAUGCCCGGGGCUUGCUUGAGUGGGUUGUGGUAUGGAUGGUAAUAAGUUGUCAUGAGGCCCAUUGAUGGGCCGAAAAAUGGAGGUUCCGGGUUGCUUGGGAGUCUCGGAACCCAAGCCCAUUUC